rnacentral:rRNA from 1 species
GAUGAACGCUGGCGGCGUGCCUAAUACAUGCAAGUCGAGCGAACGGACGAGAAGCUUGCUUCUCUGAUGUUAGCGGCGGACGGGUGAGUAACACGUGGAUAACCUACCUAUAAGACUGGGAUAACUUCGGGAAACCGGAGCUAAUACCGGAUAAUAUUUUGAACCGCAUGGUUCAAAAGUGAAAGACGGUCUUGCUGUCACUUAUAGAUGGAUCCGCGCUGCAUUAGCUAGUUGGUAAGGUAACGGCUUACCAAGGCAACGAUGCAUAGCCGACCUGAGAGGGUGAUCGGCCACACUGGAACUGAGACACGGUCCAGACUCCUACGGGAGGCAGCAGUAGGGAAUCUUCCGCAAUGGGCGAAAGCCUGACGGAGCAACGCCGCGUGAGUGAUGAAGGUCUUCGGAUCGUAAAACUCUGUUAUUAGGGAAGAACAUAUGUGUAAGUAACUGUGCACAUCUUGACGGUACCUAAUCAGGAAGCCACGGCUAACUACGUGCCAGCAGCCGCGGUAAUACGUAGGUGGCAAGCGUUAUCCGGAAUUAUUGGGCGUAAAGCGCGCGUAGGCGGUUUUUUAAGUCUGAUGUGAAAGCCCACGGCUCAACCGUGGAGGGUCAUUGGAAACUGGAAAACUUGAGUGCAGAAGAGGAAAGUGGAAUUCCAUGUGUAGCGGUGAAAUGCGCAGAGAUAUGGAGGAACACCAGUGGCGAAGGCGACUUUCUGGUCUGUAACUGACGCUGAUGUGCGAAAGCGUGGGGAUCAAACAGGAUUAGAUACCCUGGUAGUCCACGCCGUAAACGAUGAGUGCUAAGUGUUAGGGGGUUUCCGCCCCUUAGUGCUGCAGCUAACGCAUUAAGCACUCCGCCUGGGGAGUACGACCGCAAGGUUGAAACUCAAAGGAAUUGACGGGGACCCGCACAAGCGGUGGAGCAUGUGGUUUAAUUCGAAGCAACGCGAAGAACCUUACCAAAUCUUGACAUCCUUUGACAACUCUAGAGAUAGAGCUUUCCCCUUCGGGGGACAAAGUGACAGGUGGUGCAUGGUUGUCGUCAGCUCGUGUCGUGAGAUGUUGGGUUAAGUCCCGCAACGAGCGCAACCCUUAAGCUUAGUUGCCAUCAUUAAGUUGGGCACUCUAAGUUGACUGCCGGUGACAAACCGGAGGAAGGUGGGGAUGACGUCAAAUCAUCAUGCCCCUUAUGAUUUGGGCUACACACGUGCUACAAUGGACAAUACAAAGGGCAGCGAAACCGCGAGGUCAAGCAAAUCCCAUAAAGUUGUUCUCAGUUCGGAUUGUAGUCUGCAACUCGACUACAUGAAGCUGGAAUCGCUAGUAAUCGUAGAUCAGCAUGCUACGGUGAAUACGUUCCCGGGUCU